GCAGACGCCCAGCGGGGCUGGCCUGAAUAAACCCGGGCUUAUCAAAAGAAGGUGUAUGGCAGUGAAUCUGUGACUCCUCAGCUUCUCAAGAGAAUUAUCACUGGGGAUGAAGUUUCUUCCUCUUGGAUGCUAGCCAAGUGAACUUCUUUUCAGAGUUUAAUUCCUCCUCUUCCACUCCCUGUGGAAACCCUUCAUGCUGGCUCUCGGGAUCCCUGUGAACACUGAGUCAUACCUGGUUACCCACCUGCUUCAGAAUGCCCCUGACCACCCAUGUCCAGCAUUUACCUGCAAGGAGCACCGCUGCCCACAGGAUCAG
ensembl:lncRNA